GAUUGGCUGAACACAAGCACCGGCGGUCACAUGGAAGUUACACGGAAGUGCAGAAAAAGCAAUAAUAAAAUAAAAGUGGAGCAAUAGUGCGGAUGGAAUUAUCUUUGUACCUCAGCUAAAUUUUAUGCAUCACUGAAUACCGUUUUGCUUGCGUUUCCAUAUUUUUGCAUUCGAAAAUCUGACUGAUAGCCAAUAAAUAGUCUAAUACUGCUGAUGCCAGUGCUUAUUAGAAAAAUAAAAUGACGUAAUGUUUUGUGUAAAAUAAAAGAUUGAUAUGCUGGCCAGAUUUAAUAAGAAUUAUAAACAUGUCACGGUUUGGUUAAAAAACGGACACCAGCUUAACGUGACUGCAGCUGAAGAAGUUUUAAAAGGGGAACUUUAUUUUUUGUACAAUAUAUAAGAUUCAGUCUAAAGAAAGACAGGAUAUAAGUGGAGAUAGGAUAUAGUGUAAUAAGCAUAAAAGCCGAUCUACGAUGCUGGGGGACAUACAGACCUAUGCAGCGGACGCAGAAAAAGCGCGUGAGGCAGCAAGACGGUGGGUCUUAGGAGGGCUGUGGCUGCCGAGUCCCACACUGACACCCGCAGCGGGACCAGACUGCAGCCGGAGCCCUUAAUUUCUCUCUUAAAUGUGAUCUGACACACUGUAACUAAAUAAAAGAUUGUACCAUUGCUGACUCUGACUUCUGGUCGGGACAACAGAGACACAGACCCCGGUCGAGAGCAGAGCCCCAUGCGGGACACUCCUCCCCCUGCUGUUGGCCGCAAAUAUAAGAAUAUCUAUCAGAAAUGGGUAAAAUAGUCAUUCUGGAUAAAAUCUUCCGUAACUUAAUGCAAAUACUAAGCAAAACCCUUUUAUGUAACAUUUUGUCUCCACAGAGAUGUCCUCCCGAUUCUCACAGUGACACUUACACAGCUCAAGAUGUGAAGAAUCAGUCACCUGACUAUGAUACUCUGAUGAUGCUGAAGCCUGCAGCCCGUGACAGACACCCUGCAGUUCAGGAGUCAGCAGAAGAUCCAGUUUAUAGAAAUAUGAUGUAUAGUGAAAAAGGACGAUAUCAGGGAUCAAACCCAGUGGCCUAAAACCACCAACCAGGCAUUUAUUUAGAGUUAUAUGUAUAUGUGCACAUUUUGCAGAUAUUUAAAGAUUUCAGUUUGCUUAGAACUUCCCAGGAUUCCAGUCUUUGAUUGGUUUUGUUGCAGAUCAGCAAAUCUGCAGGAGUGCAUUGUGUACAAGGCACUCUCUCAGCUGUCCCUGUUCACUGUGGUAGUGCGUACGUCUCUCCUCCACGGUGUUUGUGCCGGAGAUGAUCCCAAGUUCAGAUUCUCCAUCCUCCCCGUGCAGCUGGGCAGUGUGUCACCCCUCUGUUAUCCUUCAGCAGAAGCAAGACAGGAAUCCUACAGCACGGUGUUGGCUCCGACGCACUGGUCUGGCUCUGACACACUGGUCUGACGCACUUCCUGGACUCGUGGCACUGACCAAAGUCUCUCUUCCACUCCUCACUCUGCUAUUUGCCACUCGCUUCAUUAACUGCUCAUUUCUCUAAUGUCUUGAAUGAUGAACAUGUUAUGUUUGGUUAUCACUCUGCUGCACUGUAACCCAAAUAAAGCACCGCUCUGUAACUGGCGCAGGGGCCUUCAGGAAACUUCCACUGGGCAUUAAAAACAAACUCCGUGUCAGCAGCUAAUGGUCGACUUUGUGGCUGAGCAGGAUAGAACUGGGUGCCUGAGGUCAGUGUUGGGCCCUUGGUCUGACCCGGCUUCCUCUAAGAUGUAUGUUGCUUUGGAUGAAAACAUCUGAUAAAUAAAUGAUCUGAUAAAUAAGAGA